GAAAGAGCGGUGGGUCAUUUGUGUAGAAACCUGUGCUAUUUUACAUGCUUUCCCAGCAUUCAUCUGUGUCUGUGAUUUGGACUAGAGUCGAUUGAGUGUACAUUGUGCAGGCCGAUCAUAGAUCAGAGGAAAUCACGGUCACCAUCAAGCCAAAGUCUCCUUAUGAACAGUGACAGGAUGUGAUGUCAUCGAUGUAUCUUGCACAAAAGAGGAAACUUCAUGGGUGAAGCAGCUUAUGUGUAUUUUUAAAAUCGGAAUGACAGUAUUGGUGUUUUGGUCAGUGUUUUUGAUCUUUAAUAUUCAUUGAUCUUCUGUUGAUCAAUUGGCGCAUUUAACUGCUUGAAUAUUUAUCUACAGAACUCCAGAUGUGCUGUGACUCUUAAAGGGAUAGUUCACCCAAAAAUGAAAAUUCUGUCAUUAUUUACUCACCCUCAUGAUAUCCAGGUGUCCUUUAAAUGCAUCGCAAUUUGAACUAAAUUGCAGGUGGUUAGUGUAUAUGAGGCUGGUUUUUGCACUGAAAUAUCACAUGCAAUGUGGCACAACUGUUUUGUGAAUUCACCCCUCAGUGGUUUGAAGGUGAUGAACUCAAUGAAAUGAGGCCAGAAAUGCAACAUUUAAUCUCACUAACUUUAUACGAGCAGUAUGGUAAAGUUCUGGAUUCAAAAGCCAAACAUACACAUGAGAGCCAUGUAAACAAACCUCAAUUUCUGUUAGGGUCAUCCUGAAAGAAAGCCCUAUCGCAUAGCUUUAUUUAAAUAGUGACUUCUACUAUAUUUAAAAAUCUGACCAAAUGGAAUUCAUAUUUUAAUGAAGAUUAAUGUGAGCUGUAGGUCUUUAUUACAGGUAAAUGUUUUUAUCAAUGUGUCCAGCCACACUUUUGAGUCACCACCUUUCUGUACUGAAUAAAGCCACACACAGGUUGAACACCUGUGAGACGAUCAGAGCCGAAUGAAUCAGUGUGAGACUCGGUGAGACAGAUGGCACAUCACUUCUCACAUGAAUCACUAUGACAACAUCACAUCUGUCAGACAGACAAGCACCGCAUUACUGAUGCACCUGAGCAGCUUUAUUGUGUUUAAGGAGCAGUUUUGAUUCCUUCCUAAACGGAUCAAGAGUGCAGAACUUCCUCUCAGAGUGUCAGAAACAGAUUGGAGCUCUUUGUUUAACACUACAGAACGCUGACUCAGUGUCACCAGCUUUAUUUUGGUGUGAGAGUGUCUGAAUUUGACAGAACUGAGGAACCAUUGUACAUUUUUAGAGAACCUCAUACAUAUUCCUGCUCUUAUAUUCUGACGUCUCCAAACCCUCUUGAUGUAUUUCUGAGUGAAACAAAAUAUUAAGAGCAUAUUGGGCGACGAGAGUUCUCCAGCGGGUGCGAUCAGUGGCGAGGUCUUCGACUUCGUCCCAGGAGACAUUGAGGGCUUUAAGGUUGUUAAUGAAAGUCCGGAGCCAGGUCAGUUGUGGUCGGCCUGUACCGCGCCGGCCUCCAGGUGGAACCCAUAGAAAUGCCUUCUUGGGGAUACGGCUGUCAUCCACGUGGAUAACGUGUCCGGCUAGUUGUAGGCAAUGGCGUGCAAUGAUCAUACUGAGGCUUGGCAGCUUGCUUCAUCGUAGGAACUCCUCAUUGGUAAUGUGGUCAAGGUAUCGAAUAUGCAGUAUCCGUCUCAGGCAACGCUGGUGAAAGACGUUCAACUUCCAGGUAGUGUUGGCCGAUAUUUUCCACAUUUCAGCAGCGUAGGUCGCCAUCGGGAGGAUGAUGGAUGCAUAAAGGCGAAGCUUGAUGUUAAGCGCGAGGGACGCAGAUGACCAUAUAUUGCACAUUUGUUGGAAGACUGCUGAGGUCUUGCCAACCCGGCAUUCGAUGUCUGUCUCUGUGCCUCCAUCCCGUCCAAUGACGCUGCCGAGGUAUGUGAACCUUUCAACCUCUUCGAGAUCAUGCCCAUCAACCCGGAUCUUUGGCAUGCCGGCUCGAACGGCAACAUGCAUGACCUUGGACUUCUCAGCGCUUAUCCGCAAUCCGACUUUGGCCACCUCUUGGUGCAGGCUUGAUGUUUGCUGCUGCAGAUGGUACCCAUCCUCUGCAAGCAGGGUGAUGUUGUCUGCAAAGUCGAGCUCAGUAAGGCGGCUCUGUCCGUCCCAAUUUAUGCCAGGACCUUCCUCGUGACGAAGUCAAGGGCCAUCAGGAAUAAGAAGGGUGACAAGAUGCACCCCUGCCUAAUGCCGGUCUCGAUGGCGAAGAACUCAGUGUGGCCCUUGUCCGUCUUAACAUAGAUGGAAUGGUGAUACAGGGACUGGAAGGCCGCGAUGAACUUCCUCGGGACGCCAUACAGAUGCAGGAUGUUCUACAAGGAUUCUCAAUGGAUGCUGUCAAAGAAACUGAUUGACAGGGACUGCUUAUACUCCACUUAUUGCUCAAAGAUGUUAAAUACA